CGAGCGCGCACUUCUGCAGCGUGCAGAUGCACAGCGAUCGUUCCGGCGGCCACGCGCAGGAUGUGAGCUCGACGGCACGUUCCCAUCGUACGUUAAGAGAUGCGUGAUUGACGCUCGGCGAGCGGGCGUUGUAUUUCUGCUCGCUGCACGCUCAGGAUAUUUUACUCGAUGGUCGUACUGGUGCUCGUGGCGACCCUCAUACUGAUAAGAGUAGUCAACAGCUGAUGCGGACGAAAACGAACCGAAUGGGGCAACCGAGGAGACGCGGGAGGAUCAUUGGCAAGAUGGUUUCUCAUCGUCGCGCAACGAGCGAGCGUCGAAAUAAAAAUAGAACGUAGCGGGGCAGCCGUUCGAGGGAGAACGUGGCGAGAGACUCAGGCCUGGAGGCUUUUCUCCUUCCUUCCCCUUCGUAACCUCGUUGAAAGCUUCCUCUGUCUUACUUUCUUUCUCUUGGCCGUACGAGUUCCCGCAGCUCGACAAUCUCGUCGUGUCAGCAGUGUCGCUGCUUCGUUCUUUCUCUCUCGCUCGAAUAUUGUACCACGUGGAAUACAUUUUUUCUCAGUAUUUAUCUUGAUUUCAACAAAGUAUUCCCGGACGAGAGAUGAGUGACAACUAUGGCGUUAGCCUCGACUACUCGUCUGGUGCGCGAACGUCCAAUGAUUAUUCAUCUGUCGAUGACUGCCGUUCCAACGUACAAACAGACAAUAAUCAUCUCGGUCUGGAAAUUAUUUGCUCAGUUGCAGAACGUGCACCGGAGUCGGGCAGCAGUAUCGAGCCAACGAAAGCAGCCUUUGACGAUUCAAAACCUGCAUCCAGUGGUUGUUCGUCGACGACAUUACAGGUUAAUGAUGUUACGACGGCAGACGAAGCCUUGAAAAGCCAAUCUGGGCGAGACGCCCCCCCGAGCAGUAAUUGUGAUCAGAGAAAGGGAAGCUUGGAAAACAACUACUCAGCUAGUUAUGCUUUAUCUAAUGCCAAUCGUAAUCGAAUUGCGGAAGAACGUUGGAGAUACUACUGGGACACGCGGAAUCGACAAAACCAUUUCAGGAGGAGAUUUUACGGCAUGUUAAUUGCGUCCAUUGUGCUAGCCGUUCUAUUCAUAAUAAUGGUAUACAUAGUAAUUUUUGUAAAUUAUCCAUUCCCCAUCCAACGCUCGAUCAACUCACUGCCAUGAGAAGCCUUACAUUUACGAGACAUGAUUUCGAGCCGGGAUAUGUGACCAGUGAUGAGAGUAUACACCUGCGCGAUGUGUUUCUUCGAUAAGUAUUUUAAAUUUAUAGAAAAAUGGCAGUUAUUUUAUCAUCCGUUUCUCAUUAUUGCCAAGUAAAGAGCAAGCGGUAAAGCUGUUUAAAUAUUUAUACUUAUGUGUUACAUUAUUCAUCAUAUCAACGAAUCAUUGUGAUAUCUAUAAAUUAUAAAAUGUGUGAAGGUUCAGGUUGUUGUAUGAGAUACGAGCGUUGUAGCAAAAAAAAAAAUAGAAAUGCAAAUACAAAACGUAAUGUAGAAAUUUACACACCAAGUUUCCGAAUUUCUUGGACGUGGCACGCGCUCUAAUAAACCAAUACACACCGUGAGCUACGAGCAGACCUUCCGCUAUCUGAAUUUUGGCGUGCGUGAUCGUUUCCUUGGAGUCGGCCCGAUACGCGUGCGACUCGCGAACAAGCGACAUAUCGAAUACGUAUCGCUUACGUAUCGAAUCAGCGAGAGCUGUUUCACUGCUAUCGCCGCGCGAACUUGGUGAUCGCUCCUGCCGUCUCGCGGACAAGCCACGAUUUGCUUACUCAAGCCUUCGCUAUCGUAUAUCGGCGUGGUAACUCGACAAAAUACUCGUAGAGCCAAGCGACACGGAACACUCACGUCGAGGAAUCCCCGACGUUCGACUGGUCUUGCCGAGCACAAGUUCCUCGUUGGUUGAAGCCAAGUAGCCUCGCCAGAGCUGCCGCGUGGAGGAGACGAGCAGCGACAUCGAGGACGUCGGCGAUGGGAAUCACGGUAACUCGUGCGAGCGCUCGUUCGAUGCGCGCACAAACGAAUUUAGUCCGGCGUGGCAGGCGCAUCUUUGACGCUGGUCGAUCGCGUCGAGCUCGCGAGAUCGGCGUUAUACGGCAACGAAGAUUUGCCAGCGAGCCUGCAGGUGACGACCGCCCGAUUUUUGGAAUGCUGGCAAUUAUGACGGAAGAAAUAAUGUGACAAUCAAUCCACAACAUAUUGCUCAUUCAAUACUAGGCGCUUGUGGAAUAAUCGAUGGAGAACGGGAAACUUCCAAAGUGUAAGUCUGCGACACCCUGCAAAAUAUUGACGCAGUGUGAAAAUCGAUGCAAAUGAUUUCGAUCUCGAGUGCAUUGAGCGCCAAGUACGUAAAUUCUCUUCGUAGUUUGUAAUAGAUAAUUGUUUUUGGCUAAUAAUCGCAUUAUUGCUGUAUUUUUGUUUAAUACCGAUAGUCAAAUCAAUUCACAGAUUGUCCUAUAAAUUAUAUUCUUCAAUGCAACGAGCCCGUCGGCUUGGUAAUCUUGAUAUCUGCGAUAACAAUUGUAAUCCUGGUUGCUGCAAUUGUAAUAGGUACUAGGCAUGCCAACAUAUAAGCCCGUCAAGAUCGAACUACUGCCAGAAGAAGUUUACAAUAUGCUAAAUAUGGUUAAAAAUGAGAACAAGUCUUCAAAAGGAGAUGAUACUCAAAGAGUCGUCUCUGAAAAUUGUAAUAAAUUGCAACGUAUAAUAAUUGUAACGAACGUACUGUAAAAUAAAUUAUCAACCGAACAAAUUUUUGUUACAAAUACGCAUACACUUAGCGUAGCAUAAAAUUCGCAGUCACGUAACGCGGAGUUUCAUGGCGGACAGAGUCCUCGUCGCACACGCACGAGAGCAGGAAGCUCAUUCCCCUCCAGCCGCUCCCGUAAUCCUCCCACUCGGGGAGGGAGGGGGGCUGGAAUUACACCCUCGCGGAAAAUCACACGCACGCACACGCGAGCACCCCGGCAGUUUUGGCCGGGAAGCUUAGCGAAAGGCAGCGCGUCAGCUGGCUUUCCCACGUUCCACGAGGCGAGAAUGGGCGACGACUGCUCCUCUGAUUUACGCAGGCCGCCCGGCUACACCGCCGUGGACCUCAGCCUACCCACGUACGAGCAAGCCGUCGGCCAAGGUGCCAGGGGAACGACCACGAUAGACGUAUCGAAGCCAGAGUCGAGCGACGCUGAAACUUUAGCGACGAGCGCGCAGACGGACGGUGCCUCGUGGAGCAGCCAGCGAAAUACGAGCGAGCCAGUUGCGCAACGCCGGGGCCCGGGCGACACGCGACAAAGUCAAAAAGACAUCAAGUGCUCUAUGAUCGCUUUACUGAUAAUCAUACUGUUAACAGUAGGGAUAGGAUCUCAAUACAUUGAUAAGUGAGAGGAUUUGGAUGACACAUAAGCCUGUGGCUGAAGCACUGCCAAACAAUGAGUUCUCAAGAGACCAAAGAUACAUUUUAAGUGCGAUGGAGCGGCUGCAAACGUUUGUAUUUUAAGUAUAAUUCUGAGGAAACAGAAAUUUUAUAUAAGAUGAAAAAUAUUCGUUCUCGGUAUGCAUGGCUAAAUAAGGAAAAAGAAGGCUUAUAUGUUUCGUCGUAGGCACUGGAAAAUUAAUAAUGGAUAAUCUGAUGCAUAUUAAUAUUUACGAGAUAAUAGCUUGUAUAUUUAUAUUGAAGAUAUGCACUAAAUGCUUUAUUUUCGAGACAUUAUCUAUUAUUGAGAUACGUGAUUAUUACAAAUAUCCUAUACUAUGAUUACUCAAUAAGUUGCUAAGUGAUUGUUGGACAGACAGCUUUAUCAACGUUUCGAUAUGACUAAUCAUAUAUAUAGAAUUUUUAAUAAUCAGACAUUACAAAUGACGAAUCCGUUUACACUUGUUAAAAUAAUAUAAAUAUUUAUAGUGAAUAUAUAUUAUAUGAAUGUGCCUGUGCAUAGAUUCAAUUAUUAAUUUUAAACGAUUUGCCUGUUGUUUUGUAAAAAUAGUUCAAGUUAUAUAACUAUUGCAUCGGUGAUUUAGAGAUAUAUAACUACACCUACGGCUUAUUUUCUCUCUGUUGAAAAUGAAAAUGGAAUCCCUGACCGUUAUUACAGAAUAAAUUUCUAUUUAUAAAACCAACGUAUCAAUGAAGAAAUGUGUAAUAAAAAUAGAUAGAGACAUCUACGAAGGACAAGUACAUACUUGGCUACUGCUGGUCUCUUCGUAAAACUGAUGGAAAAUUUAACCUUUAUGCUUCAAAAGUUCUUAUUUGAUGUAAUACGCACUUUUGUUAUAAAUAGCUUUCUUCGUAUACAUGGACUCAUUUUUUUAUAAAUUGUUAUCGAAGUAACUUUAAAGUGAAUCUACAAAAAAUCAUUUCUAAAUUCAAUAACUAUAUUGUAAAAGUAUACACUUUCGAGACAAUAAAUUACAGAUAUGUUUAACGUGUAAAUUAACUUUGAUUUAGUAUAUAUAAACCAAGAAUUACUUUGAUAAGCCUAAUAAAUAAGUUCCUCAAGACUUCAUUUUGUUUUAUUUUUAUUAUUACUGCUGUGUAUAAUUAAUUUGCCUUUUUUUAAAAUUUGAAUAAACAAACAUCCAUUUUGUAUCGAAAUGAAUUUUACUUUUGGCAAUGCGUUUACGAACUAUUUAACCACGUUGUAGUAUAAAUCAGCAGCAAAAAUGAAAUUGAAAGCGACGUGCAGAGACCGAGAGCUCCACGGCGUCGCCGUGUCUGGUGGAUCCUGAAUCGAUACGUCGUGUACGUCACAAACGCACAAGGACACCGUUUGUUUUCCCCUCCACAUCCCUUCCACUAGGAAACAAAGACUACAUCCACGCAAAAUACCGCAACUGGCAGCAGUUAUAUCCGAAGAGUUUGGUAAUCAGCACCGCAGUCUCAAGUUUUCGUUCCUUUAAAAUGUUCCUGCAGAAUACGGGCAGUGGCUAUGUCAGUUAUUCUAAUUUACACACAGAUUCGGAAAAAUCCAGUCUAAAUCAUAGUGUACCUUCAUAUCAAGAAGCCGUUGAUCAGCAAUUUGGUAGUACGACGAUUGACGUGUCAAAAGUAGAAGCAGGGAGUUCACAGCUAGACUAUAUUUCGUCGAAUAAUGAACAUCCAAGUACGGCCGUCUCACAAUAUUGUGGCCCGCAUCAAGUACAUUUAAUGCCUACCUACAAUGGGACAUAUUCAAAACACAAAGAGCCCAAUAUGUGUCUGAUGUAUAUUAUUGCGACGGUCGUAAUAACAUCACCUGUAAUGGUCAUAGUUUGCUACAGGUCAAUGUUUUGAUCAGCGCAGGCGCGUCGAUCAUUGAACUGUUGAUUUCUCAACGGAACGAUGUUGAAAUGGCCAGAUGCAUGUCGCCGAUGAGCAGCUUUUCCAAUGUUAGAUCUCGCAUCGACUUGGCUCGUAGCAACAACUGAAUAGCUAACUUUUCAAGUGAUCAAUGCAGCAACGUCAUAGCUGAAUCUGCUGCGGGUAGUUAUGUUGUAACGCCUUGAUUCGCAUUUGUCAAGUUAUACCGCAAACCACAGUUGUGAAUAAAAUGUAGUACUCGAACAAUA